UACGAAGGGGGCUAGCGUUGCUCGGAAUCACUGGGCGUAAAGGGUGCGUAGGCGGGUCUUUAAGUCAGGGGGUGAAAUCCUGGAGCUCAACUCCAGAACUGCCUUUGAUACUGAGGAUCUUGAGUUCGGGAGAGGUGAGUGGAACUGCGAGUGUAGAGGUGAAAUUCGUAGAUAUUCGCAAGAACACCAGUGGCGAAGGCGGCUCACUGGCCCGAUACUGACGCUGAGGCACGAAAGCGUGGGGAGCAAACAGG
rnacentral:rRNA from 1 species